GUCCUCAAGCUCAGGAUGAAAUUCAUGGUCAAGCUGAGAGGCCCCAUCUUCUUCUGACAAGAGCUUCCAACACAGCAUGGCUGUCCUGGUGCUGCUCCUCUGCCUGGUGACAUUUCCAAGCUGUGCCCUGUCCCAAAUACAGCUGAAGGAGUCAGGACCUGGUCUAGUGCAGCCAUCAGAGAGUCUGUCGCUCACCUGCACUGUCUCUGGGGUCUCACUAACGAGCAGUGUUGUACACUGGAUCCGCCAACCUCCAGGAAUGAGUUUGCAGUGGAUGGGAGGUAUAUGGGGUGAUGGAAGCACAAGUUAUAAUUCAGCUCUCCAGUCCCGAAUCACCAUCACCAGGGACACCUCCAAGAACCAAGUUUUCUUAAAAUUGAACAGUCUGCAAACUGAGGACACAGCCAUGUAUUACUGUGCCAUAGACACAGUGAGUGAACUCCAGUGUGAGCCUGCACAAAAACCUACAGAUGGAGACAUUCACGACCAGCAGGGGGCGAUGGAGACCAACAGGGUCUCCCAAGACCAGUAUGUUUUUCCUUAA